rnacentral:rRNA from 1 species
UACGAAGGGUGCAAGCGUUACUCGGAAUUACUGGGCGUAAAGCGUGCGUAGGUGGCGCGUUAAGUCUGUCGUGAAAGCCCCGGGCUCAACCUGGGAAUGGCGAUGGAUACUGGCGCGCUAGAGUGCGGUAGAGGAGAGUGGAAUUCCCGGUGUAGCAGUGAAAUGCGUAGAGAUCGGGAGGAACAUCAGUUGCGAAGGCGGCUCUCUGGACCAGCACUGACACUGAGGCACGAAAGCGUGGGGAGCAAACAGG